GACGAACGCUGGCGGCGUGCUUAACACAUGCAAGUCGAACGGAAAGGCCCUGCUUUUGUGGGGUGCCCGAGUGGCGAACGGGUGAGUAACACGUGAGUAGCCUGCCCUUGACUUUGGGAUAACUUCAGGAAACUGGGGCUAAUACCGGAUAGGAGCUCCUGCUGCAUGGUGGGGGUUGGAAAGUUUCGGCGGUUGGGGAUGGACUCGCGGCUUAUCAGCUUGUUGGUGGGGUAGUGGCUUACCAAGGCUUUGACGGGUAGCCGGCCUGAGAGGGUGACCGGCCACAUUGGGACUGAGAUACGGCCCAGACUCCUACGGGAGGCAGCAGUGGGGAAUAUUGCACAAUGGGCGGAAGCCUGAUGCAGCAACGCCGCGUGCGGGAUGACGGCCUUCGGGUUGUAAACCGCUUUCGCCUGUGACGAAGCGUGAGUGACGGUAAUGGGUAAAGAAGCACCGGCUAACUACGUG
rnacentral:rRNA from 1 species